UUUUUUUUUUUUUUUUUUUUUUUUUUUUUUUUUUUUUUUUUUUCUC
rnacentral:ribozyme from 1 species